rnacentral:rRNA from 1 species
UACAGAGGUCUCAAGCGUUGUUCGGAAUCACUGGGCUUAAAGGGCGCGUAGGCGGUCCGACAAGUCGGGGGUGAAAUCCUGCAGCUUAACUGCAGAAGUGCCUUCGAUACUGUCGGUCUUGAGGGAGAUAGGGGUGUGCGGAACUUCCAGUGGAGCGGUGAAAUGCGUUGAUAUUGGAAGGAACGCCGGAGGCGAAAGCGGCGCACUGGAUCUCUACUGACGCUGAGGCGCGAAAGCCAGGGGAGCAAACGGG